rnacentral:rRNA from 1 species
AUCUCAAAUCAGGUAGG